UACGUAGGGUGCGAGCGUUAAUCGGAAUUACUGGGCGUAAAGCGUGCGCAGGCGGUUUUGUAAGCCAGAUGUGAAAUCCCCGGGCUCAACCUGGGAAUGGCAUUUGGGACUGCAAGGCUGGAGUUUGGCAGAGGAGACUGGAAUUCCCGGUGUAGCAGUGAAAUGCGUAGAUAUCGGGAGGAAUACCGAUGGCGAAGGCAGGUCUCUGGGCCACUACUGACGCUGAGGAGCGAAAGCGUGGGGAGCGAACAGG
rnacentral:rRNA from 1 species